rnacentral:rRNA from 1 species
UACGUAGGAUGCAAGCGUUGUCCGGAAUUAUUGGGCGUAAAGCGUCCGCAGGUGGCACUUCAAGUCUGCUGUCAAAGACCGGGGCUUAACUUCGGAAAGGCAGUGGAAACUGAACAGCUAGAGUAUGGUAGGGGCAGAGGGAAUUCCUGGUGUAGCGGUGAAAUGCGUAGAGAUCAGGAAGAACAUCGGUGGCGAAGGCGCUCUGCUGGACCAUAACUGACACUCAGGGACGAAAGCUAGGGGAGCGAAUGGG